CGGACGGGUGAGUAAUGUCUGGGAAACUGCCUGAUGGAGGGGGAUAACUACUGGAAACGGUAGCUAAUACCGCAUAACGUCGCAAGACCAAAGAGGGGGACCUUAGGGCCUCUUGCCAUCGGAUGUGCCCAGAUGGGAUUAGCUUGUUGGUGGGGUAACGGCUCACCAAGGCGACGAUCCCUAGCUGGUCUGAGAGGAUGACCAGCCACACUGGAACUGAGACACGGUCCAG
rnacentral:rRNA from 1 species